rnacentral:rRNA from 1 species
GAUGAACGCUGGCGGCGUGCCUAAUACACGCGAGUCGAGCGAACAGACGAGGAGCUUGCUCCUCUGACGUUAGCGGCGGACGGGUGAGUAACACGUGGAUAACCUACCUAUAAGACUGGGAUAACUUCGGGAAACCGGAGCUAAUACCGGAUAAUAUAUUGAACCGCAUGGUUCAAUAGUGAAAGACGGUUUUGCUGUCACUUAUAGAUGGAUCCGCGCCGCAUUAGCUAGUUGGUAAGGUAACGGCUUACCAAGGCAACGAUGCGUAGCCGACCUGAGAGGGUGAUCGGCCACACUGGAACUGAGACACGGUCCAGACUCCUACGGGAGGCAGCAGUAGGGAAUCUUCCGCAAUGGGCGAAAGCUUGACGGAGCAACGCCGCGUGAGUGAUGAAGGUCUUCGGAUCGUAAAACUCUGUUAUUAGGGAAGAACAAAUGUGUAAGUAACUAUGCACGUCUUGACGGUACCUAAUCAGAAAGCCACGGCUAACUACGUG